AUGCUCAUCUUGGCCACAUGUAUACUAAAAUUAAAAUAAUAGAGAUAAGCUCAGAAUGGCCCCUAUGCAAGGAUGGCACACAAAUUCAUAGUGUUCUGUGUUUUU